UAACUUUAAUUCUUACUCAUGAUCAUCACUUGCACUAGUGGUCGCUGGUGCUGGUGGUGGUGCCAUCGAUAAUGCAGGACUCUGCUGCUGUUGCUGUUGGGAUCUCUUUCUCUUCUUCUUCUCGUAGCUAAUUCCUCGAGCUUUAGCUUGUGAAUCUCUAACUUCACGUAGAUAAAGCCUAACAGCACGAGCCCCGAAAGGAUUGUUCUCUGGCUUGCCCCCAUGCUCUUCAAAGGCAGCACGAAGGCGGCCAAUGAGAGCAUCAAGGCUACCCCAGGCCUGGCGGAGAGGACACGGGCAUGGGGCAGGGGGGUUCGGUUGGCCAAAGAAGGGGCAGAGUUGAGUGUGG
rnacentral:misc_RNA from 1 species